rnacentral:rRNA from 1 species
GACGAAGGGGGCUAGCGUUGUUCGGAAUUACUGGGCGUAAAGGGCGCGUAGGCGGCCUGGUCAGUCGAAGGUGAAAUCCCCGAGCUCAACUUGGGAACUGCCUUCGAUACUGCCGGGCUUGAGUCCGGGAGGGGAGAGUGGAAUUCCCAGUGUAGCGGUGAAAUGCGUAGAUAUUGGGAGGAACACCGGUGGCGAAGGCGGCUCUCUGGACCGGUUCUGACGCUGAGGCGCGAAAGCGUGGGUAGCAAACAGG